AGGCAAGGCCAAGGCUUCUUGAAAGGCUGGUCAUGCCCCAGUGAUCAAUGAAGAACUCAGGGAUAUCCCAAAACUCAGGACUAUAAGGCACAAUGGGGGAGCAGGUACCAGGUGGCCAGCAUCCUAAAUGACUCUCAGCAGCUGCAGAGAAGACCAUAAUGGAUGGAUAUAUAGGCUGACGUAUAUCAGUUGGCUUCAGUUGUUUGGUGAUAUUCACCAGAUCUAUAUUUUGCUAUUUUAUGGAUAUUAUUUUCAAUUUCUGAGGAAAGAGGCAUUACCAUAUCAAAGCCUUUAGCCUUCUUGCAUCACGACAAAAAUUCGAACUUGGUGUUUGAAGAACAUGAAAAAUGAGGAGGAAUAAAAUAAUCAUGAGUCUCCUGGUCAUUAACUGCAUGAAGUUGAGCUGGUCACUUAAGCCAUUCCUAAUAUGUAACUUGAGAGUAUAGUAUUAGAUAUUCAGUAAAUUCCCUUCAAAAUUCAUAUUUAAUGUUUCCUAAUUAAAUAUAUAUUUGGGGCUAAAUAUACAAA
rnacentral:lncRNA from 1 species